rnacentral:rRNA from 1 species
GCGGAGGAAAAGAAACCAACAGGGAUUGCCCUAGUAACGGCGAGUGAAGCGGCAACAGCUCAAAUUUGAAAUCUGGCCCCCUAGGGGGUCCGAGUUGUAAUUUGCAGAGGGUGCUUUGGCGUUGGCGGCGGUCUAAGUUCCUUGGAACAGGACGUCACAGAGGGUGAGAAUCCCGUAUGUGGUCGCCGGCCUUCGCCGUGUAAAGCCCCUUCGACGAGUCGAGUUGUUUGGGAAUGCAGCUCUAAAUGGGAGGUAAAUUUCUUCUAAAGCUAAAUACUGGCCAGAGACCGAUAGCGCACAAGUAGAGUGAUCGAAAGAUGAAAAGCACUUUGGAAAGAGAGUCAAAAAGCACGUGAAAUUGUUGAAAGGGAAGCGCUUGCAGCCAGACUUGCCUGUAGUUGCUCAGCCGGGCUCCGGCCCGGUGCACUCUUCUGCGGGCAGGCCAGCAUCAGUUCGGGCGGCCGGAUAAAGACCUCUGUCACGUACCUCCCUUCGGGGAGGACUUAUAGGGGAGGUGAAAUGCGGCCAGUCCGGACUGAGGUCCGCGCAUCUGCUAGGAUGCUGGCGUAAUGGCUGUAAGCGGCCCGUCUUGAAACACGGACCAAGGAGUCUAACAUCUAUGCGAGUGUUUGGGUGUCAAGCCCGAGCGCGUAAUGAAAGUGAACGGAGGUGGGAACCCCUCGGGGUGCACCAUCGACCGAUCCUGAUGUCUUCGGAUGGAUUUGAGUAAGAGCAUAGCUGUUGGGACCCGAAAGAUGGUGAACUAUGCUUGAAUAGGGUGAAGCCAGAGGAAACUCUGGUGGAGGCUCGCAGCGGUUCUGACGUGCAAAUCGAUCGUCAAAUUUGGGCAUAGGGGCGAAAGACUAAUCGAACCAUCUAGUAGCUGGUUCCUGCCG